rnacentral:rRNA from 1 species
UCUAGUUUAUCCUGCUAGAGGUUGCGGCUAUUUCGAUUCCGCUAAGACAUGCAAGUUCUCUGUCGCAAGAUGGAAGCGAACUGCUCAGUAACACGUAGUCAAUCUACCCUAAGGUUCGGAAUAACUUCGGGAAACUGAGGCUAAGACCGAAUAGAUGAAAGAGGCUGGAAUGCGCUUUUGUUGAAACGUAAGGUCCUAGGAUGAGACUGCGGUCUAUUAGGUUGUUGUUGAGGUAAUUACUCAACAAGCCGACGAUAGAUAAGGGCUCUUAACGGAGGGGCCCUGAGAGGGACUCUGAGACACUAGUCCCAGCUCUAUGGAGUGCAGCAGUUAGGAAAAUUUUCCAAUGCUCGCAAGAGUGAGAAAGGGAUCGAAAGUCUUCUCUUUGAGAAGCUUUUCUAUGCUGUAAAAAAGCGUAGGAAUAAGGACUGGGCAAGACCGGUGCCAGCCGCCGCGGUAAUCCCGGCAGUCCAAGUCGUAACCGCAUUUAUUAGGUCUAAAACAUUUGUAGCCUGUUCUGUAAGUUCUUUGUGAAAUUGUUGCGCUUAACGUAACAGCGUGCAAGGGAUACUGCAGAACUGGAGACUGGGAGACGUAACGAGUACGAUUGAGGUAGCGGUAAAAUGUUUUAAUCUUAAUCGGACUAACAAUGGCGAAGGCACGUUACGAGAACAGAUCUGACGGUGAGGAAUGAAGGCCAGGGGCGCAAAAUGGAUUAGAUACCCAUGUAGUCCUGGCCGUAAACACUGAUUACUAAACAUUGUGCUCUCCUAGAGAGAGUGCAGUGCUGUAGGGAAGCUGUAGAGUAAUCCACCUGGGGAGUACAGCCGCAAGGCCAAAACUUAAAGGAAUUGGCGGGGGGACACACAAGGAGUGACGCGUGCGGUUCAAUUAGAUCAUACCCCGUGAACCUUACCAGGAGCGACAGCAGAAUGAAGGUCGGUCUGAAGGGCCUACCUGACACGCUGAGAGGAGAUGCAUGGCCGACGUCAGCUUGUGCCGUGAGGUGCCCUGUUAAAUCAGGUAACAAGCGAGACCUGCAUGUAUAAUUGCUAUCCGGAGAGGGAGCACAUUAUACAGACUGCCUUAGUAAUAAGGAGGAAGGUGCAGUCAACGUUAGGUGAGUACGUCCCGAAUCCCCUGGGCUACACGCGCGCGGCAAUGCUAGGUGCAAUGAGAUGCAACUCCGAAAGGAGAAGCCAAUCCCCUAAUACCUAGCCUAGUUCAGAUUGAAGCUUGCAAUUCAGCUUCAUGACGAUGGAAUUCCUAGUAAUCGGGUGUUAUUAACGCCCGGUGAGUACGUCCC